rnacentral:rRNA from 1 species
UACGUAGGGUGCAAGCGUUGUCCGGAAUUAUUGGGCGUAAAGAGCUCGUAGGCGGCUUGUCACGUCGACUGUGAAAACCCGGGGCUCAACUCCGGGCCUGCAGUCGAUACGGGCUGGCUUGAGUGCGGUAGGGGAGACUGGAAUUCCUGGUGUAGCGGUGAAAUGCGCAGAUAUCAAGAGGAACACCUGAGGUGAAGACGGGUUGCUGGGCCAACACUGACGCUGAGGCGCGAAAGCCAGGGGAGCAAACGGG